AACGAACGCUGGCGGCAGGCUUAACACAAGCAAGUCGAGCGCCCCGCAAGGGGAGCGGCAGACGGGUGAGUAACGCGUGGGAAUCUACCCAUCUCUACGGAAUAACGCAUGGAAACGUGUGCUAAUACCGUAUACGUCCUUCGGGAGAAAGAUUUAUCGGAGAUGGAUGAGCCCGCGUUGGAUUAGCUAGUUGGUGGGGUAAAGGCCUACCAAGGCGACGAUCCAUAGCUGGUCUGAGAGGAUGACCAGCCACACUGGGACUGAGACACGGCCCAGACUCCUACGGGAGGCAGCAGUGGGGAAUAUUGGACAAUGGGCGCAAGCCUGAUCCAGCCAUGCCGCGUGAGUGAUGAAGGCCCUAGGGUUGUAAAGCUCUUUCACCGGUGAAGAUAAUGACGGUAACCGGAGAAGAAGCCCCGGCUAACUUCGUGCCAGCCGCCGCGGUAACAC
rnacentral:rRNA from 1 species